GCACCACAAGAACGCGUGGAGCAUGUGGCUUAAUUUGACUCAACGCGGGAAAUCUUACCGGGUCCGGACACACUGAGGAUUGACAGGCAAUAUCUUGGCUGUUUAAUAACCGUUUAUUAAUAAACGGUUUAUUAAACAGAUCGAGUGUUAAAUAUGCUAGUCCUUUCAUGAUUAUGUGAUAGGUGGUGCAUGGCCGUUCUUAGUUCGUGGAGUGAUCUGUCUGCUUAAUUGCGUUUCACUAAGGGCCCAUAAAUACAAGGUAUGUUAGCAAUCGUCGCUCUAUGGACCCCUUAUUUCAGUUUAUUAAUAAACUGUUAUAAGCGCGCGUCUUGUUUAAAGAGUUUAAGACACUGCGCAUGCUGUUGGGCUCUGAAAGCAACGAACGUGACCGCAACGUCUUGUUGCCUUAAUCAAGUCGGCUGUUUAAUCUGUUUAAUUAAACAGACAGACAGCAGUCAUUAUAUGGCUUAUCCGAGGCUAUUUAAAACUAGACGAACCGCUGUUUCUUUUCUUAAACCAGAGGAAGGUUGCGGCAAUAACAGGUCUGUGAUG
rnacentral:rRNA from 1 species